GCUCCCAUGGUGUAGUGGUCACUGCACUCGCCUUGCAUGCGGGAGACCCGGGUUCGAUUCCCGGCAAGGUCA
rnacentral:tRNA from 1 species